AUUGAACGCUGGCGGCAGGCCUAACACAUGCAAGUCGAGCGGAUGAAGGGAGCUUGCUCCUGGAUUCAGCGGCGGACGGGUGAGUAAUGCCUAGGAAUCUGCCUGGCAGUGGGGGAUAACGUCCGGAAACGGGCGCUAAUACCGCAUACGUCCUGAGGGAGAAAGUGGGGGAUCUUCGGACCUCACGCUAUCAGAUGAGCCUAGGUCGGAUUAGCUAGUUGGUGGGGUAAAGGCCUACCAAGGCGACGAUCCGUAACUGGUCUGAGAGGAUGAUCAGUCACACUGGAACUGAGACACGGUCCAGACUCCUACGGGAGGCAGCAGUGGGGAAUAUUGGACAAUGGGCGAAAGCCUGAUCCAGCCAUGCCGCGUGUGUGAAGAAGGUCUUCGGAUUGUAAAGCACUUUAAGUUGGGAGGAAGGGCAGUAAGUUAAUACCUUGCUGUUCUGACGUUACCAACAGAAUAAGCACCGGCUAACUUCGUG
rnacentral:rRNA from 1 species